rnacentral:misc_RNA from 1 species
GUGAACGGGCGGGGCUUGUUAGAACGACUGUGCUUUUUGUGGAGAAAGGCUAAGGAUACAUGGUAUCAUGUUGUGGAUCAAUUAGGUUUCUCAGAUGAAGAGAGAUUAAGAAAAUUGCAAGAGUUGAGAGCUGAUUUGGAGAUGGAAAUGGCAUCUUAUAAAGAAGGGAGGGCAAGAGGUGCUGGUGUAGCUUUUGUGGUAUUUAAGGACGUAUUCACAGCUAAUAAGGCUGUCCAGGACCUCCGGAAUGAGAAGAGGAGGCGAUAUGGUCGAUUCUUCUCAGUCAUUGAGUUGCAACUACAGAGGAACCAGU